GACGAACGCUGGCGGCGUGCUUAACACAUGCAAGUCGAACGGAAAGGCCCUGCUUGCAGGGUACUCGAGUGGCGAACGGGUGUGUAACACGUGGGUGAUCUGCCCUGCACUUCGGGAUAAGCCUGGGAAACUGGGUCUAAUACCGGAUAGGAGCUAUUUUUAGUGUGAUGGUUGGAAAGUUUUUUCGGUGUAGGAUGAGCUCGCGGCCUAUCAGCUUGUUGGUGGGGUAAUGGCCUACCAAGGCGUCGACGGGUAGCCGGCCUGAGAGGGUGGACGGCCACAUUGGGACUGAGAUACGGCCCAGACUCCUACGGGAGGCAGCAGUGGGGAAUAUUGCACAAUGGGCGCAAGCCUGAUGCAGCGACGCCGCGUGGGGGAUGACGGCCUUCGGGUUGUAAACUCCUUUCGCUAGGGACGAAGCUUGUUGUGACGGUACCUAGAGAAGAAGCACCGGCUAACUACGUG
rnacentral:rRNA from 1 species